ACCUAAUGUCUUUUGCUCUUGUCCGUUUCAAAAAAAAAGUAUUUUGCUCUUGUUCUAGUUUCAGUAUCCUUUAGGGUUCAAGUUGUUGGGCUCAUACCCAAGACAACAGUCGAUGGAUGGAGAGUCACACUAUUUCGGAUUAGGUAGUUACUGGUUGACUGCAUACAAUCUAACCAGUCGCGGCAAACACUGCAAAACUACAUCUAAUCUUCACGGCCUUCACCAUUUCAUACUUUGUCAAUUUCUCAGUGAAUACCAUCAACAUAAUUUUGUAGGAACCAAGUUGAAAUUUCAAAUAAUGAAAUUUCAACUUGCAUGAGAUUCCACUUAUUCUAUGUGAUACUCUCGAGAGAUGGAAUUGGGAAUCUGUUUCGUCAUUGAGAGCAACUAACUGCCGUUAUUCCGAGGCAGUUUCCCAUAAAGCAGACUAACUAGUAGGGUGAAAGAAUCCAGUAGCAAACGAGAUUGAUUCCAACUCCAUUAGUCUUCUGUGUUUGCAAGCAUCCUUAUGACAUCCUUUAAAAGCUAGAGGAACUUCCUAUUUCAUGAGUUACCUAUAUAGUUUGGUAAAUGAUCUCUACAAUUAUAUCUAAGAGACGACUAACAUAUAGACACCACAACUUCUUCUGUCACUUCCCACAUUUCAAACUUAUGCAUAACAUAAAUUAGGCCACAAAUGUGAUAUUCAGAGAGAAGUUGAAGACUUAGAUGGAGGAUAUCACAGAAGCAUCAAGAGCGCAAAUGCGACAUAGAAGACAAACAACAUUAUAUGUGGCUAACUGAGGUGUUGCCGGCAUCAAGCGCACACAAAAGAGACCAACAAAUGUUAGAGGAGAAAGGAAAAUAAUAUUCAAUGUAAAAUGCUUAGAUAUGAUCUAAUGACAUUUUUGUUUUUGGUACAUGAGAUCUAACGACUUUAAUCAAUCCAAUGGUUAAAAAUUGUGGAGACGUAAUCCUAUUGCAUUUUCCAAUUGUUUAGAAUGUUGAUCAAAUUUUCUUUGAGAAUACAAUGAUACAAGAUCAAGGACUUAUGCAUUUUCCAAUUAUUUUGCUCCAAUUUUGCCAAUUGCUCUUUGGACUUCGUAAUCCUAUGCAUAAAAUAACUCUCAUGGUUCAGCUUUUUCUUACCUUGCUCAAAUUCAGAAUAAUUUUUGUAUUUUGUGAUAAUCCUUUUUGGACUUCCCAUGGGAAAGACAAAAGCUCCGGCCGUGAAUGAAAAUCGAUAUAAAGUAUAACAAAAACAUCAAUCCUACAAAGGGUUGCGUGUUCAUCAAUCUUCUUGGUCAAACUCUUUUUUCUUUUGUUGUAAAGUUGUCCUACAACAAAAGAAAAAAGAGUUUAACCAAGAAGAUUGAUGAACUUACAACCCUUUGUAUGAUUGAUGUUUGUGAUAUACUUUAUAGCAAUUUUCAUUCAGAUCCAGAGGUUCUGUCUUCCCCAUGUGAAAUCCAAAAAGGAUUAUCACAAAAUACAAAAAGUAUUACGAAUUUAAAUAAGAUAAGAAGAAGCUGAACCACGAGAGUUAUUUUAUGCAGAGGAUUACGAAGUCCAAAGAGCAAUUGGCAAAAUUGUUUUUAUAACAAUUGGAAAAUGCAUAAGUAUUAUCUUUGAAAUGAAUAAGAUGUAUCAUCGUCCUUUUAAAGCAAAGAUAAAUUUAUUAUCAACCUUGUGUGAUCCAAACAAUAUAGUAGUCGGUUAAUGAUAUUGAUUUUUAUUUAUUUAUAUCAGUAGUUUUUUUAUCGAUAAUAUAAAUUAUUUUUGUGUUUUUAACUUCAAUAAAUAAUUAAAAGGACUAACUAACCGUUGUUGUAUAGAGUGAUGACGAUCGCAGAAGACAAGGCAGUGGUGGCGUGAUGGCGGUGUAGAAGUAGCACGGUGGUGGUGCAAGAGUGAUNNNNNNNNGGGGGGGGGGGGGGGGGGAGAAUAUAGAUUGAGAUAUAGGAAAAGAUUUAUGAAAGGGAGAUUUUGAGAGAGAAAGAAGAGAGAAGUGAAAAUGGGGAAUGAGAGAGUUGGCUUCAUGUUGUUGAAUUUAUAGACGCGAGUGUUAUUGUUGGCGAUAAAAAUUGGAAUUUCAUACUCCCGCCCAAGGUUUUCAUGAAUACCGCUCAAAAUUACCGCCCAAGGUUUUCAUGGUGUAUACGCCUCAAAAAUUUAAACUUUAAACUCUUGCCCAAAAAAUUUUGUUUUAAAGUUUUACUAUAAAAAUUGGAAAUUCAAACUUUCGUUCAAGAUCAAUUUUUUCACCGAGUUGUCUUUCUCGCAAAUAUUUGCUCUACAUUAAUGUUUUUCUUGUGUUGAUUAAUACUGUAGACUUUUUUAGUCAAAAAAAAAAAGAUACUAUAGAUUUUUGACUGGGUCUUUAACUUUGAAAAUUAUUUUUAAUUGUGUCUUUUCUAUCUCAAUGGUAACAACUUAACUUUCUAAUCUCGAGAUACUGAGUUCACAUCUCAUUAGCAACAUUUGUAAAAUUAUCGUUAGCGAUAAUUUAAUUAAUGAAAACAAAUAUAAAUUAAAGUGUUUCUCUUAUUCAACAAUUAGUUAUUAGUAUGAGAACUUUAAAACAUAGUUAGUCGAAAACAAAAAUGCUCAGGCGAAAAAUACAUUGUUCACCCUCAUACCUUCUCACCUGACUUCACCGUCUUGUGAUUUUCUGAUUCGAUCAUCAUGGAAAGAUUUAUGUAUCCCUUGUUCUUGCCUUGAUUCAUGUUCGAAACAACCAAAUUUAGUUCUUGAGAAGCCAAAACCCAAAAAACCUUUGUGCAAGCUCUCUCUAAUUUUCUAAUAUCCCGUUGUCGUAGCUACCUCAAGUGUGUGUAAAAAGCGACAAAUUUGCUAUUACGGCCCCGAAGGAGGAAUAUCUCGCAUGUUUGGAAGCAUGCAAGCACAAUCAUUUAGCACAAAGGGUGCAACACUCUUCAUUGUUGUUGCCUUGAAGAACAGGCUAUCUCCACUUUGGAAUGAUCUAGCCAAAUGGGGGAUCAUCUCAUUAGGUAAAGGAUUCUAUGAAUUCUCAUUUUCAUCUCUUGAAGAUGUUACAAGGGUUAAAUUGGUUGCUUCAUGGUCUUUUAACCCCGACAUGUUAAAAUUGUUUGUGUAGUCAAAAGAUUUCAAUCAUAUGGGGCGGAGCCCUUCAUGGGCUGGACAGGGCCAUGGCCCGCCCCAGAAUUUUUAAUUUUUUUUUCAUAGGUAUACUAUUUAGCGNNNNNNNNUAAUUUAUUUUGUCGAAGUAUUCAAGUAUAUUUUUUUGGAGAAAAAAAUACUCAAAUUUUUAUUUAAAAUAGAGUUUGUGCAUAAAAAUUCAUGUUUGAUCAAUCUUUUGUUAAAAAAAUUUAAAUUUUUGUUAGAGAGAUGCAUAUAAUAUUAUAAACAUAAAUAAUAAAACUAAUUAAAAAGUAUGAAGUUUACACAUUUGACAUAAAAUAUAUUUCAUAAUAUAUUCUUAAAAUUUAUUUAAUAAACAUGUUAAUGAUCCACCUUUUGACUAUUUUUGAGAUAUUCAUACUAGACAGACUCUCAAUAUGAUAUGUCUUUUUUUUAGUAAUUUCUUUUGCAUAUUCGAUUUAUAUUUGUAGCGGUCCGCCCCAAUUUUUCGGGCUAGCUCCGCCACUGAUAUGGUUCAGCAAACACACUCAGCUCAUGUUCUGGUUCGCUUAUAUGGGUUGUCACAAGAGUAUUAACGUCCAAAUAUCUUGUUUUCUAUUGCUAGUAGCUUAGGUCCCUUAUGUACCGAUGUUAUCACGGUAAAACCUUUGCUUAACAAACUGACCAUAACAUAAGACAUAUAUAUUAUUUUUUGGACAUAAGUUAAACACCAAAAUUUUUGGUGUGAACUUUUUAUAAUACCAACAAUACCUUUGAUUUGUUUUUUGAGCAGCAAAUUUUUUUUUUUAUCAAAAUCACGGUGACAUAACAUGUAUUUUCUUUUAGCAGCAAAAAUCUUUUAUUAACAAACUCACCAUAACAUAAGACAUGUAUUUUUUUAUUUUAUUUUUGACAUAAAUUUACAUAAUAGACCGAACGUGUUCUAUCUGGCUGGUCCUUAGUAACCGAAUAAAAUCAAAUUUGAUUUGAUUAUCUUAUCUUAUCUUAUCUUAUAUAAAUCAAAUUUAAACUAGCCCUAAUUCUAUUUUGAAUUAUAAUUGAAUUAUAAUUAUAAAUAUAAAAAAAUAAAUUACAAAUAUAAUAAUUAAAAAAAUAAAAAAGGCUAAAUUGCAUUUUUGGCCCCCUAAGUUUUAGAAAGUUGCGAUUUUGGCCCCUUAUGUUUCAAAAUAGCAGUUUUGGCCCCCUAUCUUUAUCCCCUUUUGCAAAAGGUCAAUUUUGACCAAGUCAACGCCGAUGUGGCAAGUCACUUGAGUGACUCAGCUGCCACAUCAGUUUUUUUUUNNNNNNNNNNNNNNNNNNNNNNNNNNNNNNNNNNNNNNNNNNNNNNNNNNNNNNNNNNNNNNNNNNNNNNNNNNNNNNNNNNNNNNNNNNNNNNNNNNNNNNNAUAAUUAAAAUAAAAAAUAUACAAAAUGAAAAAUAAAAGGAGAGGAAGACGUCACGUGAGUGAGCCAUAAACACAAACACCAAUGGCGCAACAACAACAACAUGCAUCAUCCUCAUCCCUUUGUCUCGACACCGUAGACGAGUUAUACUUCUCUGUGUAGCAUCUUCAUCAAGGGUUGUUAAUGUUGUCACUGUCCACACCGAAGAACUCGAUCAUCAUUUGUGAGAACUGAUGAAAUGUUCAGGAAUCAAUUAUGUGACCAUUCAUUUUGUUCUGAGUGUGUUGUCAAAAAAGUGGCAACAAAAAUUCCAUAAUCGUAAAGGUAUAUCAUUCAUAUGAUUAUAGUGCUUGUUUGUAAUUGAAUUUAAAAAAACAUUUUGUCAACAAAAAUAUUCAAUGGAAACAUUAAUUUAUGUAGUUCUACUAAGCGAACUACAAUUUGAACAACAUAUUUCUAAUUGAAAAAUUUAUUCAUGAAAUGAAAACAGGGUCAUUCUUCCAACAAAGUACUCAAAGGAAUGACAAAACUUAAAAUAAUAAAUUGAGAGAUGUUCUUUUCCUAAUCUAGGGGUGGAAGAUAUUAUGAAAUCUGAGUGUCCUUUUUGUCAUAGAUUGUUUUGUGCAAGGUGUCAUGUGUCAUGUACUCAUGUUCCUUGGCAUCCUGGGAUUGGUUGUAAGGAUUAUCAGAAAUUGAACGUGGAUGAAAGAGGGAGAGGGAAGAUCUUCUCGUUAGUGAACUUGCUAAUCAGAAGAAAUGGAGAAGGUAUCUCAUAUGCAGGUUCUAUGUUUAAAAAAGGGAUGGUUUGGGAUUUGGGAUGAGGAUGAAGUUGAUUAGGUUGAAGGAGAUGAUCUCACGUGACAUCUUUCUCUACUUUUAUUUUUUAUUUUGUAUAUUUUUUUUAUUUUAAUUAUUAGAUAAAAAAAAAUUGAUGUGGCAGCUGAGUCACUCAAGUGACUUGCCACAUCAGCGUUGACUUGGUCAAAAUUGACCUUUUGCAAAAGGGGAUAAAAAUAGGGGGUCAAAACUGCUAUUUUGAAACAUAGGGGGCCAAAAUCGCAACUUUCUAAAACUUAGGGGGCCAAAAAUGCAAUUCAGCCAAUAAAAAAUCAUUUAAAUUGAUUAACGGUAAACCCUACUACUAGUAUUUUUUUGACCUUUUAAACCGACUUUCUUCUUCUUAUAAUUUAACCUUAUUUCACUUCGACGCUUUUUCUUUCUCCUUCUCCUUACGUUACGCCAAUGUAUCCUCACCGUUUCCCUGGCGGCGGCCGCCGUCCACCAGGGCAACCUCCUCCACCUUCAAAUUUCCAAAACCCUAACUUCUCCUACCAACCCCACAACUUCCAUCCCCCUAACACUUCCUGCCCUUACCAACAAUUCCGUAACCCUCCUCCGCCGCAAAACCCUCCCGCAUACAACUAUCGUCCGCAAAACCCUCCUCCUCCUCCGCCUCCCGGUUCCACUUCUCAGCCACAAAACCAACCUCCCUCCGCUCCUCAGUCUCAAAACCCUCCCACAUACACCUAUCGUCCGCAAAACCCUCCUCCUCCUCCGCCUCCCGGUUCCACUUCUCAGCCCCAAAACCAACCUCCCUCCGCUCCUCAGUCUCAAAACCAGCCUGUCUCUACUCCUCGGCAGCAAAAUCCCAAACAGGCUAUUGAUAAGGUUGACAAAGCUUCUUCCAAAGCCUGCCGUGACCUUAUUGCUUCUGGAGAGACUAUUUCUGCAUGGAAAGUGUCUCAAAAAGCUCUCUUGACACUUCAAGUUGAUUCUUUGAACUCUUUGGGUAUCAAAAUUCAACAGGUUCCCACACUAAACCGUCUUAUGAUCACUGAAGGAAAGGUAUAUAUACUUAACAAAGUUUUGUUUUUUUUGUUUUUUUUUGGUUUAGUUCAAUUCAAUGAUGAAUUUGAUUAAAAGGGUUGGUUUUCAAUGUUUUGUUUUGGUUGUUAUGUGAAGGUGAAUGCUUUUAUCCAUUGCUUUGUUGGGGUUAGAAGGAUUACUUCUUUGUAUGAUUUGGAACUGGCUAUAUGCAUAAAUGAAGGUGUUGAUAGCUUUGAAGAGCUUGGGUUGGGGCCUUUUUUGCGCCACCCUUUAGUUAUUCAUUAUUUUUCGGUUCGUUCCAAUGUGACUGAAGUAUUUAAGAUAACUAGUGAGGAGAUAGUUCGGUUUUUGAUCGAGAUUUUAGACGUAUCUAAAGCAGUUGUCGGGGUUGAAGAGUUUCUGGAGUUUAUUGCCAAGAAACGGUCGGUUGGACGCAAAGAAAUUCUUGGGAUUCGAAUUCAGAACUUGGGGUAUGUUAUGUCUUGUUCAUCUUACAUAUUUUGUUGAAUAGGGCUUGUAGUGGUUUAUAGUAUUUGAAAGAGACAGAUAGAUUGAAAACAUUUAUGCAAUAAAUGAUAAUUGAAUGAAUGAACUUUGAAUUAAUGCCAAAUUAGUUAGUGAACUAACAGCUCCUGAUGAAAUUAUAUCCUUAGACGAUAUUUUAUUUGGUAGAUCAAAAUUAAUUAUCAAUAGAACCAAUGCUGAUAAAGGCAUUAUAAUGUGUCACGUUGAAACACAUACAAACCGGCUUUAUUUGGGGGCGGGGUGGGAAGGUGAGCGAGUGAGAUUGUUAUUACAUUUUUAAUGUCAAUUUGAGUUCAAAUAUUUUUCUUGGAUAUUGAUUUUAUCUAAAUUCUUUGCUUCCAAUUUUGAGUUGUAAUUGUAAUGGCACAUAUGGGCUACAAUCUUUUAUAAAACUAAAUAGACAGCACUUUGUUGGGCUACAACCUCCCUACCAACUGAAUCACUCAUUUUAUACCUCCUUUCCUUAUGCUCAACUCACCCAUAAUAGAUUCCCUUAACUUCGCUCUCUGCACUCACACAUUCUACUAUAACAGCAAUCCGUAUUCUUAGUCAUCCAAACAUUAUGUUAUAUCAAAUUAACAAUGAUCCUAUUCUUGCUUGUUGCUACUCACUCUCCUUGUCACAAGCUUCUUCUUCCAAUUAUAUAAUUGGGUAAUGGGAGGUCUAACCCCAUAUCAAAUGUAAUUUUCACACAUAUUAUAAGUUUUGGUUAUGAAAAUAAAAUGCAUAUAGGCAGUUCACCAUGACAACAGAGUUAUAUAUUAGCAAACACACACACACACACACACACACCAUGACACCAUCGAUCUGCCUGCCCUCGUAACUGCUUUUAUCUUGUCAGGGUAUUUGAUAUCUUUUAAGUUUGAUCUGUCAUGUACAAGUGUAACAUUUGUACUUGAAUAGGCCAUCUUAUCCUAAUUACUGAUUUUGUGAUCACAGAAUGCACAUAACUGCCAUAAAGGAAGCUAGAAAAUCAGAGCAAUCUACACUAGAGAAAUGCCUGAAGACAUUAAGAUCGAAAAGUGACGAGUUUAGAAAGCGUCCUAUUUCUUCUUCCCAGAAAAAGCAGUUAGAUGACCGUUUUAGCACCAUUGCUCAGCGUGUUGAGUCAUUUUCUUCUGCUGAAAAGUUAUUUUGUGGCAAGCAUAUUCGAUUUGCGUCUUCAAGCUCAGAAGAUGAAGGUAGUGAUUAUUCUACAGAUAAUGAUCAGAAUGAUAACAUUAUUAUGAAUUGGUCAAACUCAUCAUCACAAUUUGGCAAAAGUUCAGAACGAGUGAGUAGCUGUCCCUACCCAUCUGCAACAGAAGAGAUGGCACGCCUUGUGGUGAAGGGUGAUAAGCAGGGAGACUCCCUUUCUAAUAGCAGCCUUAGAAGUGGAUUUACUGAGCCCCCUAGAAAAAAAAGAAAAUCUGAAAAUGUUACUUCUACAAAAUCUCUACCUUCAAAAAAAAACUUUAAGUAUAAAAAGGUUGAUCCAGUCCCAAUCAUAACCAAGGUGUCAUCUGACAUGGACAAAUAUCUUUCAAUUACUGAUGAUUCUUUGCAAAUGUUUGUCACAACCUGGAAGGAAGCAUGUUCGGAGCACGGAGUCUCUGAGGUAGGCAUUUAAGAUCACUUAAAUGAGAUGAUAAUGAUACAUUUAUAGUAAUACCUUUCCUUGCUGCUCUCUGGAGAUAGGUUCAUUUUGUCUGUCUGUUACAAAAAUGUACUAAGUAAUUAUGACAAUGCACAUUUUGAAUAUUUGAUUUCACAUGUUGCUUCUUUGCUUUACCCAUUUUAUCUUAUCUUUCAUUUGGGUAAUUAGUAAUCUCUUUUAGAAAAUGUCAACAUGAUAUUGAGCUGGAAAAAUGAGCAAAUGUUGUUAUAUUUUUUGAAAAUCUUGAGGUCUGAAUUUAGAAUCACUUCCAUCCCAUGGCUUGAAGGUUGGAUCCUUCCGUAACAUUUAAGAGUGAUAUAAUAUUCUAAUGUGUUAUGGUUCAAAGGGUAUAUUAUCAUAUUUGCUUACUUUGCUAGUAUCAUAUUUGCAUACAUGUUUAUGAUUCUGGUUCCAGAGAAUUGCAAGUAUUGAAUCAUUAUUAGAAAAAAAGAUACCAUGCUAUGAAUUAUUAUUCAUCUACAUCUUCAUAGUAGCCUUGAAGCACUUGUUUCACAUUUUCUUUUCAUUGAGAAAUUUGGUUUUUAAAUCACAAUGUAUGUGCAGGUUUUGGAGAGGAUGUUUCAAUUCUAUGGAGUAAAAAUAAAAUCCCGGGGAAAGAAGAGAGUCCAAAAGUUGUUUGAAUCAUAUCCCUUGAUUGGGUUACUAAAUGCUGCUGUAAGCUUCUUUUUGUUGAUUUCAUUAUUUUUCCUUCACACUUACAAAUUUAUUUAUGGUAUAUUAGUUGAAUUUUUAUUAUAAUUAACCGCUUCAUUUGAGACCUAACCACUUCCCAAUUUACGCUAAUUAGACGUUAUUAAUAGCUGGAUUGUUUUUGUUUGCUAAAUGUUCAUUUGGCUUGAACUUCCUCCCAUCACAAAAUGGGCUAAUAUUAGGGGAGGACAUACUGUUAUUCAUAGCCUAUUUUUACUGUAGCUUUGCUAAGUUAUUGGGUCUUGCUAGCAUGUGCACUUUGGGCACUUGUUAAGGGAUACAAAAAUAAAAGCUUUUGUGUUGAAUAUACAAUUUUCAGUAUGGUUCAUUAAGAAGUGCCCUAAGGGCACAUGUUAGAAUUUGCCAUAGUUAUUUCCUGUAUAAAUUAUUUCACUUUUCACUUCUCUUUAUAUUUUUCUGUUUGGUUGUAUGGUUUCCUUAUGGAAUUGAUGUAUAUACUAUAGGCUUUUUCCCCCUUUAAAAGGUGUAUGAUAUCAUCUAUUGAAAUACUUCCAUUCUAAAAUGCUGCAGGUUUCAGCCAUCAAAUCUGGAAUGUGGAAUAGCAUCUAUGAUACCGUCCAAGUCUUCAACCAUAGUGAAUUAACUAACUCACCGACCAAGAGUUCUGAAUAUGAGACCAUAGAUGUUGGACCCAGCCUGGAAAAUGUAGCACUGGUAACAAAAGAUAGUGCAGAGAAUACAAAAUGUGAGUCUAUUUGCCUUUGGAUCAAGCAUUGGCUAACAAAUGUAUCCACUAAUUUUGGCCAUUUUUUUUUAUAGUUUCCCUUUGAAAGAAUUUCCACUUGGCAAGUUAUGAAAAUGAGUUUUAUGGGCCUACUCCUUAUAUUUUUAUAUUAGAGUGAUAUAUCCAUGAUUAAAGAUGAGUACUCUAGGAAUUUAUUUUCUUAUGUUUUUAAUUACCCAGGGUACACAAACUAUUUUUGUUACUUUUUUCGUCUCAAAACUCCUUAUCCUACGCAAUCUUGUCUACCCUUCCUGACAUUGUGGAAUUUAUAACAGGUAUUUCUGCUGAAGAUGUUGUCAGAAAAAUUGGAAUGUAUUUUGACCUUGAUAAUGAAGUAUAUAGAAAUAGUGAGUCUGAGGUGAAAUAUAAAAUUAUGUUUUUGAAAAAGUUUUGCAACUGUGAAAGUUGGUUGGCUGAGCAGUUUGGCGUGAAGAACUUCAAUUCUCUUGGUCAUGGGGAUCUCUUAUCAUUCCUUGAGAAUAAUGUUCUCCAAUUGCCCCGUGAGCUUCUCAAAAUAUUAGGUGGUGACAUGUGCGAAAAUUCCUCUUUCAAGGCCUGUAUGUCCUCAAAUGAGUUGGUUGCUCUACUAUCUCAGGCUCUUAGUAGUUUGUGGGAGAAUGAAACAGUAACCAAGCAGAUUAUUUCCAUGCUGCUUAUGAGGCAGUUUCCUUCAAUUUGUUUUGAAUUUGUGGAAAGUGGGUCUGUUGAGGAUCUGAUGGCUACUGUUCGAGAGCAUAAAUCUAAUGUGACUUCAAAAUGUGUUGUAUUUUCUGCAACCAUGAUUGAAGAGAACUGUCACGUAGAUUCUUUAAGUGAUGGAGAUAACAAUUCUGGAAACACCACUGAUAGGUCUGAAGUGGGCCACAGAACAAGAAGCUCUGAAACUAUUACAGCUAAAAAGGCAAUUGAAAUAUUACUUAAGUCACCAAUGUUGUCUGACUUGAGCAAGUGGUCUCAUUGGGAUCUUAUGUUUGCACCCUCCCUUGGAUCGCUUAUAUCAUGGUUGCUGAAUGACGUAAAUACAGAAGAAUUGUUGUGUUUGGUUACCAGAGAUGGAAAGGUGAUACGAAUCGAUCAUUCUGCGACCUUGAAAUCUUUCCUCGAGGCUGCAGUUCAAGGAUCCUCUUUCCGAACUGCAGUGAAUUUACUAUCUUUGAUCUCACUAUUUGGGGGGAAAAGAAAAGUUCCACUGUCACUUCUAAAACGCGACGCCUGUAGUGCAUUUGAAGUCAUGUUUAGAAACUUUGUGGAAGAUAUUGAAGUUAGUGAUCAUAAAAAUGUUCUCCUGUCUGAGGAAGCUUUAUGUAAAACAAAAAUAUUAACUGAAGUUUCAACUUCUAAAAUGAGUGGUGAGUUUGGCAAACACUACCAUAAAUUGAAUAAGGUAGCAUCAAUUCUUUCAAGGUUUGUCCUUGAUUGUCUUGGUUAUCUACCUGCUGAAUUUCAUAGUUUUGCUGCUGAUGUGUUGCUCUCUGGCAUGCGAUCUGUUUUCAAGGAUGCUGCUGCAGCUAUUUUAUGUGAAUGCAGCAACAUGGAGCAGCAUCUCAUGCUUCAUGAAAUAGGACUGUCUCUGGGUAUUACUGAGUGGAUUAAUGAUUAUCAUGCAUUUAUUUCAAACGACACUUCUGACCAGUUUGGUGCCCGUGUUUCAUGCUUAAAAGAUGCUAAAACUGAAAUAAGCAUAGGACUGAAGCAUGACCAAGGUAUCAUGGAUAAGUCUAUUGUGCCUGAAGUGAAUAUGGUUACAUCACUUGCACCAUGUACUGAAAUUAGUCAAACGGUUGAUGGAGAAAAAACUAUUGAUGAAUCCAUUACUAGCUGCCUGGAAGAUUCAUUUCAAAGUGGCAAAGAUAUUGAUUCUUCUCUGGUCAUUGAAUCUAUUAGGCGAGAUGAAUUUGGCCUAGAUCCCAGUCUUUCUGAUAUUGACAGUUGCAUGUUGAAGAAGCAACAUGCUAGGUUAGGGAGAGCAUUGCAUUGUCUUUCACAAGAGCUAUAUUCUCAAGAUUCACAUUUUAUCCUUGAAUUGGUGAGGAUUUCCUUUCAACUUCAUUUCUCAUGCUUAGGAAUAAAGGAGUGAUGGGGAGUGUUUUUUUAUUCUGUCAUGCCUUUUUUAUUAUUUUUUGUAAAAUACAUGUACUGAUCCACAUCAUCUUAGUAACUGUUAGAAAUAGUGAUUAAAAAAAAAACUGUUAGAAAUUGAAUAUAAUAACGUUCGACUUUCCAAGUACAAUUAGAAUUCAUUAUAUAAUGGGUUCCUUUCAUUCUUAGAUUCAAUGUACCGUAGAAGUUAAAGCUAGUUAUAAUUUCUCUUCAUGUAAAUUGUACUUACCAUGUACAUAAAUAUUAAAUAGAUGCUCCUGCUUGAGUGAAUUUAUUAAGAAGUUGUCUUUUGGUGGUAAGGGGUAAUUAUAAUGCAAGGCAGUGAUAAUGUUCUGAAAAUGUUUGUCACAUCUUAUUGAAUUUGCAGUUAUUUUAUAGGAGUUCUGUAUAAAUCCUUGGCAUUACUUUUCACUGUUUAUGAAGGGAUGAUUUUAAUAAAUCUUUCAAAUUUAAGAUGCAUUAUCAAUAUUUGAAAUUCUGUAUGUUGGUACUUGGUAGGGAUGGUGAGAUUUGUGUUAUUGUUCUGAACAUGUAUCUUAUAGUUUCUCCUUUUGAUUCAGGUUCAAAAUGCAGACGAUAAUAAUUAUCCAGAUAAUGUGGAGCCAACUCUUGCUUUCAUUCUUCAAGAUUCUGGUAUUGCUAUAUUGAAUAAUGAGCGAGGAUUCUCUGCUCAAAAUAUUAGAGCACUUUGUGAUGUUGGAAAUUCAACAAAGAAAGGUUCCAGCGCUGGAUACAUUGGAAAGAAAGGCAUUGGCUUCAAGUCUGUGUUUCGAGUAUGUUAAGGAAACAUUUUAAUUAGUUUUCUCUUUAUAAUAACAUUUUUAAUGAAUGCUGAAAAACUAAAAACUUCAAGAUAGUUUAGGAGGUGUUUUGUUGACCUCUUAAUCAUUUUCAGUUGCAUUUGUAAGAAAAUGAUAUAUCAUAAUAAAACUUGCUUCUUUUCCUUAAGGUUUUCUAAUUGUACUUUUCCUUUAUUAAUAUAUUAUCCACAUAAUGAGUUUUCUUAACUUCGAUUGGUUUCACUUCAGGUCACAGAUGCUCCAGAGAUUCACUCCAAUGGUUUUCAUGUUAAAUUUGAUAUUAGUGAAGGCCAGAUUGGUUUUGUUUUGCCCACAUUAGUUCCUCCGUGUGAUAUUGGGCUGCUCAGGAGGAUGGCAUUUACUGGUACUGAUUCAUAUGUUGAUAAUCCCUGGAACACAUGCAUUCUGCUUCCUUUCAGAUCUCAUCUGUCAGACGGAGCUGUCAUGAAUAAUAUUAUGACUCUGUUUUCAGAUCUUCAUCCUUCUUUGUUACUAUUCCUUCACCGCCUUAAGUGUAUCAAGUUGAGAAACUUGCUUAAUGAUACAUUUAUUGUUAUGAAAAAAGAAAUUUCAGAAGAUGGUAUCAUCAAGGUUUCUCAUGGGAAAGAGAGAAUGACAUGGUUUGUAGUAUCUCAGAAGUUGCAGACAAAUUCCAUCCGCUUUGACGUGCAAACAACUGAAAUAUCUAUGGCGUUUACACUGCAGGAAUCAGAUGAUGGUUACAGUCCAUGUUUAAACCAGCAGCCAGUUUUUGCUUUCCUUCCUUUAAGAACAUAUGGCCUCAAAUUUAUUCUUCAAGGAGAUUUUGUUCUUCCCUCAUCCAGAGAGGAAGUUGAUGGAGAUAGCCCAUGGAACCAAUGGCUGUUGUCGGAGUAUCCUAAUUUGUUUGUCAGAGCAGUGAAAGAGUUUUGUGAGCUUCCCUGUUUUAGGAGUGAGCCUGGAAAGGGAUUAUCUGCUUUCAUGAGCUUCAUUCCUUUAGUUGGGGAAGUGCAUGGUUUUUUCUCCACUCUCCCUCGUUUGAUUAUUUCUAAAUUACGCAUGAUGAAUUGCUUACUUGUGGAGGGCGACAACAAUGGAUGGGCCCCUCCCUGCAAGGUAUUGAGAGGUUGGACUGAGCAGGUGCGUUGUCUUCUUCCUGAUAACGUACUUCUUGAGCACCUAGGGCUCCGAUACUUGGAUAAAAAUGUAAUAUUGUCUGAUACGCUAGCGCGGGCACUAGGCAUUGAGGAGUUUGGGCCUUCAGUACUUGUUCGAGUGAUGUCAUCUUUAUUUUGCACAAAGAAUUGGCUGAUAUCAAUGAAUAUGAGUUGGUUAGCAUCUUGUCUAAGUACACUAUAUGUGUUGAUGUUUGAUUCAUCUGGCACAAUGUCGAUCAAUAUAGAAAUAAAAGAUGAUAUUCUAAAACGCCUUAAAAAAACACCGUUCAUUCCACUUUCAGAUGGUACAUACAGUUCAGUGGAUGAAGGAACUAUAUGGUUGCAGUCCAAUACUUUUAACACAGGAUUUGAUGGUGAGCAUAAAAUUGAAGCUUUCCCCAAUAUAUGUGGUAAACUGCGGACUGUAAGUCCUUCCCUUCUUUCUUCAGCUUCCGGUACUUCAAGCUUGAAUGUAACUUCUUUGGAC
rnacentral:lncRNA from 1 species